CAAUAGCGUAUAUUAAAGUUGUUGCAGUUAAAAAGCUCGUAGUCGAAUUUCUGUACGUGCCCAGUUCUGGCUUCGGUCAAGCUCGGGCGCGUGCAUCCGCUUGCAAACUUGGACCGGCCUUCACUGGUCGACCAAGGGAGUAGGCUUUUUACCUUGAAAAAAUUAGAGUGUUUCAAGCAGGCAAUGGCUCGAAUACAUUAGCAUGGAAUAAUGGAAUAGGACUUUUGUCCAUUUGAUUGGUUAUUGGACUUAGGUAAUGAUUAAAAGGGACAGUUGGGGGCAUUAGUAUUUAAUUGUCAGAGGUGAAAUUCUUGGAUUUAUUAAAGACUAACUUAUGCGAAAGCAUUUGCCAAGGAUGUUUUCAUUAA
rnacentral:rRNA from 1 species